CGCCCUGGGAUAGGGGCUGUGGCAGUACGCGGGGACCCGGCUGCGGUGGCUGCAGGGCUGACGAUUGAGUCUCGGGCUGGGGCGGAAACGGAGCUCCAGGAAGCUACUAAAGUUCCUGGGGAAGCAAAGUAGAAUUUCAUAAGAACAAAAUGGAUGGAGAGGAGAAAACCUAUGGUGGCUGUGAAGGCCCUGAUGCCAUGUAUGUCAAAUUGAUGUCAUCUGAUGGCCAUGAAUUUAUUGUAAAAAGAGAACAUGCAUUAACAUCAGGCACGAUAAAAGCCAUGUUGAGUGGCCCAGGUCAGUUUGCUGAGAACGAAACCAAUGAGGUCCAUUUUAGAGAGAUACCUUCACAUGUGCUAUCAAAAGUAUGCAUGUAUUUUACGUACAAGGUUCGCUACACUAACAGCUCCACCGAGAUUCCCGAAUUCCCAAUUGCACCUGAAAUUGCACUAGAACUGCUGAUGGCUGUGAACUUCCUAGAUUGUUCAAUAAAAUAAAUUAUAAUAAA